rnacentral:rRNA from 1 species
GGCGGCGGCCUACCCAUGCAGUCGAGCGGAUGAGUGGAGCUUGCUCCAUGAUUCAGCGGCGGACGGGUGAGUAAUGCCUAGGAAUCUGCCUGGUAGUGGGGGAUAACGUUUCGAAAGGAACGCUAAUACCGCAUACGUCCUACGGGAGAAAGUGGGGGAUCUUCGGACCUCACGCUAUCAGAUGAGCCUAGGUCGGAUUAGCUAGUUGGUGGGGUAAUGGCCCACCAAGGCGACGAUCCGUAACUGGUCUGAGAGGAUGAUCAGUCACACUGGAACUGAGACACGGUCCAGACUCCUACGGGAGGCAGCAGUGGGGAAUAUUGGACAAUGGGCGAAAGCCUGAUCCAGCCAUGCCGCGUGUGUGAAGAAGGUCUUCGGAUUGUAAAGCACUUUAAGUUGGGAGGAAGGGCAGUAAGUUAAUACCUUGCUGUUUUGACGUUACCAACAGAAUAAGCACCGGCUAACUUCGUGCCAGCAGCCGCGGUAAUACGAAGGGUGCAAGCGUUAAUCGGAAUUACUGGGCGUAAAGCGCGCGUAGGUGGUUCAGCAAGUUGGAUGUGAAAGCCCCGGGCUCAACCUGGGAAUUGCAUCCAAAACUACUGAGCUAGAGUACGGUAGAGGGUGGUGGAAUUUCCUGUGUAGCGGUGAAAUGCGUAGAUAUAGGAAGGAACACCAGUGGCGAAGGCGACCACCUGGACUGAUACUGACACUGAGGUGCGAAAGCGUGGGGAGCAAACAGGAUUAGAUACCCUGGUAGUCCACGCCGUAAACGAUGUCGACUAGCCGUUGGGAUCCUUGAGAUCUUAGUGGCGCAGCUAACGCGAUAAGUCGACCGCCUGGGGAGUACGGCCGCAAGGUUAAACUCAAUGAAUUGACGGGGGCCCGCACAGCGGUGGAGCAUGUGGUUUAUUCGAGCACGCGAAAANCUUACUGGCCUUGACAUGCAGANACUUCCAAAAUGGAUGGUGC